rnacentral:rRNA from 1 species
GAUGAACGCUGGCGGCGUGCCUAAUACAUGCAAGUCGAGCGAACAGACGAGGAGCUUGCUCCUCUGACGUUAGCGGCGGACGGGUGAGUAACACGUGGAUAACCUACCUAUAAGACUGGGAUAACUUCGGGAAACCGGAGCUAAUACCGGAUAAUAUAUUGAACCGCAUGGUUCAAUAGUGAAAGACGGUUUUGCUGUCACUUAUAGAUGGAUCCGCGCCGCAUUAGCUAGUUGGUAAGGUAACGGCUUACCAAGGCGACGAUGCGUAGCCGACCUGAGAGGGUGAUCGGCCACACUGGAACUGAGACACGGUCCAGACUCCUACGAGAGGCAGCAGUAGGGAAUCUUCCGCAAUGGGCGAAAGCCUGCCGGAGCAACGCCGCGUGAGUGAUGAAGGUCUUCGGAUCGUAAAACUCUGUUAUUAGGGAAGAACAAAUGUGUAAGUAACUAUGCACGUCUUGACGGUACCUAAUCAGAAAGCCACGGCUAACUACGUG